UACGAAGGGGGCUAGCGUUGCUCGGAAUCACUGGGCGUAAAGGGCGCGUAGGCGGCCGGCCAAGUCGGGGGUGAAAGCCUGUGGCUCAACCACAGAAUGGCCCUCGAUACUGGAUGGCUUGAGUUCGGGAGAGGGAUGCGGAAUUCCAGGUGUAGCGGUGAAAUGCGUAGAUAUCUGGAGGAACACCGGUGGCGAAGGCGGCAUCCUGGACCGAGACUGACGCUGAGGAGCGAAAGCCAGGGGAGCAAACGGG
rnacentral:rRNA from 1 species